GAGACCGAAGUGGACGCUGCAGUUUCCUUUCUUGAACAGCUGUGCUAAGUCACUUAGCGAAUGGCUGAGUGGAAACAGGAGUCGUACGUUCAAAGGUUACGCAGCAACACAUGUUCGAGGUCAAGUGCUGGUGACUAAAGCAGCUUUGUGAACCAAGUGAGCCACACAUUGGACCAGAAAGCAGAGAAACAUCCACAUGUUGAACAGAAAUCCUUGCAGGAAAGCUGAUCACAGAAAGCAGCUUAGUGUUCCUCCUUUAAGUUCUUGCAUUUUAAUGCUUUCAUAAAAAGAAUACUUUUCCCAUGCCAUGAACACAAUGGAGCAGAGCCCCAAGGGAUUUAAUACUUUGAAAUUAAAUUGUAAAAAAAAAAAAAAAAAAAAAA